CAAACGCCAAUUGAUGUACUUUAGCAUUUUACCAACAACAUUAAUACACCUACCAUAGAAAUCUAACCCACACCAUUCUUCUGACCAGAAAUGUUUGGAAACAGUAGAAAACACAGCACUCUUCCCCAGAAAAGAACCAGACUGAUACACAUUGAAAGUGAAAUAUGAUAACCCACCCCUUGUCGGGUUGUAUCAUGAAAUAUAACCCCUGAUACAACCCAUGUGUGCCUAAUUUCCUCCUUCCUAAAUUUCAUUUUCUUUUUAGAGAUCAGUGUUAAUUCCCAGACUAUACGUCAACAGGAAAUUUGUCAA